rfam:Ricinus communis cultivar Hale ctg_1100012362730, whole genome shotgun sequence.
UGUUGGGUUCGAAUCAAUUAUAUUAGGAGAAUUACACUUGUUGCGACUUUUUCGAAUAAGUAGACUAAGUACUUGAGUAGAAGAAUUGAUAUUUUAGCCUAUGAUCAUGAUUACAAUUGGAUGGAAUUACCACUCUUGAAUUGGAAAUUUGUUAAGAUUGAUUUUUAUUUACUUUAAUAUUCAGCCUUCAUUAUUUUCUGCUUAUUUAUAAUUUUGAUUCAAACAUUCAAAACCCCCCUUUUAUUUUACUUUGAGAAACUAUUCACAUUGGUUCUCUUGGGAUUCGACCUGGUUUCACUUUUUCUACAAAUUAGUUUAAGAAAAUCAGUAAUUUAUUUUGAAGGGCUUCGACAACCCGUUCAUAUGCACUAAAGAAAAUUAAAUGAAAAGAGCACGCUGCUGUAGGCCUCGGAAACGAUGCACCUUAGGCGCGCGUCGCCCUCUUUUGAGAACCAUCCGUUGGCGGAAGACAUUGUCAGGUGGGGAGUUUGGCUGGGGCGACACAUCUGUUAAAAGAUAACGCAGGUGUCCUAAGAUGAGAUCAACGAGAACAAUGAUCUCGUGUGGAACAAAAGGGUAAAAGCUCAUUUGAUUCUGAUUUCCAGUAUAAAUACGAACCAUGAAAGCAUGGGCUAUCGAUCCUUUAGACCUUCAGAAUUUGAAGCUGGAGGUGUCAGAAAAGUUACCACAAGGAUAACUGGCUUGUGGCAGCCAAACGUUCAUAGCGACGUUGCCUUUUUAUCAUUCGAUGUCGGCUCUUCCUAUCAUUGUGAAGCAAAAUUCACCAAUUGUUGGAUUAUUCACCUACCAAUAGGGAAUAUGAACUAGGUAUAGACCGUUGUGAGAUAGGUUAGUUUUACCCUACUGAUGAUUGUGUUGCAAUGGUAAUUUGAUGUAGAUGAUUCUAUGCAUGUUUAUUGACUGUUUAUCAGUCAUUUAUUCACAUAUUUGAGUCAUAUUUAUUCCUAUUUGAUCGCACUUUGGUAUGUCUAUGAGUUUUUUAGGUUUUCGGACUCUUUGAUGAGACAUUGAUUGAUUUACGGGCAGAAACCAAGCUAUUUGGAUGAUUUAUGCAUAUUAGAUGUUUAUUGGAGUCGAUUCCUUAUUGGCGAACAUUUCGAGGCUUUGCACGGGCCAUGCAACGGCUCGUUGCACGGCCUCCCUUGGACAAUUUCGGAAAUUUGGCAUUUCGUGAAGGUUGGGCCCAUUGCCCAGCCCGUUACCCGGGCCGUUGCACGGGCUGUGGCACUUCUGCCUAUAAAUAGAUGCACGUAAAACGAGAUAGGGUUUCGCUUCUGAUUUCUGGACUUCUCUACGCGCGCGACCCCUUACUUCUACACCUCUGUUCUUGACAUUUUGGGAUACCAACAUCAGUUCAAAUGAUUGAUUUGGGAGAUUCAAGCAAAGAUUGAAGUUUCUAGACGAUUGAUCAAGACAUCCGAGAUCCAUACUUGAGGCUAGUUCCAGAGUUGGUGCUUGUGACAUUUCCACUCCGAUUUGAGAGAAGAGGGGUUACAUGUUCCAUUUCCUUUUCUGUUAUUUAUUCCCUUUUGUAUUUUUUUCUUUCAUUAUGAGUAGCUAGGGUUGCCGAACCCAUUGGGGGUCACCUUUGUUGAUGGAUUGUGCUUAAUUAUUAGAUCUUUAUUUGCCAUUCUUGUAAUCUUCUUGCUGUUUAGUAAUAGAGUUUGAUUCAGUUAAUUUAAGACGUUAAAUUAAUUGUCUUUUGGGUUGUUUCUUGACAUUGAGAAAUGCUUGUUACAACUGAAAAUUGAAUAGUAAGAAUUGGUAGUUAACACUUAGAGAUAAGGUUAAUUCACUUGCCGGAUUAAGAAUUAACAACUUUUAAUAGAUCUAAAUCAUGCUUAAUGCUAAUGUGUAAUAGUUUGAUAGGAAGAGAUUCAAUUAGGUUAGUGCAGGUUUAGGAACUUGGUAAGCUCGAGAAAGGAGCCGAGUUCGAUUCAGGAUUUAGGCACGGGUAGCAAGAUUGGUAAUUUAUAAAAUCAACCUUAGAAUUCCAUCACUUAGAUCCCCUUCGGGUCUGUUUCUUUAUUACGGUUGUCUUUCGAUCGUCAGUUGCUGUUUAUUCCUUUAUUUGCAUUCAUAAUCAUUAGUUAAUUAAUUUAGACUUCUCACACCUUAUUUCAGACUAGAUAACAUAUCGAACAAUAGUAACUUUAGGUUCACCCGAUCUCCAGGGAUACGACCUUGAUACUCACUAGUGCUAGGCUGCAUCGAUAGGUUCACUGCCUUAGGUGUAGGUUGCAUAAGUAGCCCAUCAUAAUUCAACCUAGUACGCGAGGAACCGUUGAUUCGCACAAUUAGUCAUCGCGCUUGGUUCAAAAGCCAGUGGCGUGAAGCUACCGUGCGCUGGAUUAUGACUGAACACCUCUAAGUCAGAAUCCGGGCCAGAAGCGACGCAUUGUCCACUGCUCAUUUGCCGACCAGCAGUAGGGGCCCUCCGGCCAACAAAGGCACGUGUUGUUGGCUAAGCCAGCGCGGGGGACGAGCCGCGCAUGCCGCCUUGAAUUACAAUUUCCAUCGAGCGGCGGACUGAAUCCUUUGCAGAUGAUUUAAAAAUGCGACGGGGUAUUGUAAGUGGUAGAGUGGCCUUGCUGCCACGAUCCACUGAGAUUCAACCCAUUGUCGCUCCGAUUCGU